AGAAGGGAAAAGGUAUUAGCGAGUAAUGGAAUGCUUUGAGGAGUUAAAAAUAAGGGUAGAUUUGAAGAUUCCCAAAUAAAUCAAUCUUCGAAAUUGCCAUGGACAGGCAAGACAUAACCUGGUAAAUUGAAACAGAUUAGUAACCAGAGGGAAAGAUUCAUGUGGCUCUCUUACUUCCUUUGCAAAUCAGCAGUCCUUAGGCCGCCCGCUUGAUUGACUUCAUUACAUCAUCCUCUUCCUCCUCAAACUUCUAAGCAAGGGAAAGGAUGGAACUUCUUUCCCAUUUCCAAAACCAUUGGAGAGAGAAGAUACCGUUGGACUAAUAUCGUAGGCUCUUUGGCUGUUAGAAAUUGAAGAAAAGAAGAGAGAGAAAGGAGCGCCGGUUCGAUUCUAACAUAAUCUUGAUGGAGUUGCAAGGAGAAUUUCUACCAAGUCAGAAAGAAGCCUACGCCUAAGAAAAUGGGCUCAACUGUGCUGAGGUGGUGAAGCAGCUUUCUUCACCAAGCUCGGACUUGGACCAUCUCCGGAAGUGCUCUCGCUAGUUUCUUCUCCGGCAGCAAGUCAAGUGGCUACAACUCCUUGCUCCUUGUUCAGUCACUUUACUCCGACCAUUCUACCCGGGUAAAGAAAUUCCGUUGUUUUCUCAGUGGAAGCCACAGUUCAGCAAGCAGCCGUUUAAAGGUUGAAGUACAGAUUAGGGGUACCCUUUAUGGUUGUGAAAAGCAAUAAUCUGUAGACAAUCCCAAACAGAACCCGUAAUCAACUG
rnacentral:lncRNA from 1 species